rnacentral:rRNA from 1 species
CAGUAGCCGCGGGAAUACGAAGGGUGCAAGCGUUACUCGGAAUUACUGGGCGUAAAGCGUGCGUAGGUGGUGGUUUAAGUCCGUUGUGAAAGCCCUGGGCUCAACCUGGGAAUUGCAGUGGAUACUGGGUCACUAGAGUGUGGUAGAGGAUAGUGGAAUUUCCGGUGUAGCAGUGAAAUGCGUAGAGAUCGGAAGGAACAUCAGUAGCGAAGGCGACUAUCUGGGCCAACACUGACACUGAGGCACGAAAGCGUGGGGAGCAAACAGGAUUAGAUACCCCCGUAGUCCCUGUCUCUUAUAC